GUGAGGAAUAUUGGUCAAUGGGCGGAAGCCUGAACCAGCCAAGUCGCGUGAAGGAAGAAGGAUCUAUGGUUCGUAAACUUCUUUUGCAGGGGAAUAAAGUGCAGGACGUGUCCUGUUUUGUAUGUACCCUGAGAAUAAGGAUCGGCUAACUCCGUGCCAGCAGCCGCGGUAAUACGGAGGAUCCGAGCGUUAUCCGGAUUUAUUGGGUUUAAAGGGUGCGUAGGUAGUUUGAUAAGUCAGCGGUGAAAGUUUGCAGCUUAACUGUAAAAAUGCCGUUGAAACUGUCGGACUUGAGUGUAGAUGAGGUAGGCGGAAUGCGUCGUGUAGCGAUGAAAUGCAUAGAUAUCACGCAGAACUCCGAUUGCGAGGGCAGCUUACUAAGCUACAACUGACACUGAAGCACGAAAGCGUGGGGAUCAAACAGGAUUAGAAACCCCUGUAGUCC
rnacentral:rRNA from 1 species